GCCCUUUUUAUGUUGUACUACUAGUGAUAACAGAAAAAAGCAGUGCAAUAUUAAAAGGGCAU
rnacentral:pre_miRNA from 1 species